rnacentral:rRNA from 1 species
UACCAGCACCCCGAGUGGUCGGGACGUUUAUUGGGCCUAAAGCAUCCGUAGCCGGUCCUGCAAGUCUUCCGUUAAAUCCAGCUGCUCAACAGAUGGGCUGCGGGGGAUACUACAGGGCUAGGAGGCGGGAGAGGCAAGCGGUACUUUAUGGGUAGGGGUAAAAUCCGUUGAUCCAUAGAAGACCACCAGUGGCGAAGGCGGCUUGCCAGAACGCGCUCGACGGUGAGGGAUGAAAGCUGGGGGAGCAAACCGG